AAUGAACGCUGGCGGCAGGCCUAACACAUGCAAGUCGAACGGAUCCUUCGGGAUUAGUGGCGGACGGGUGAGUAACGCGUGGGAACAUACCCUUUGGUACGGAAUAGCCUCGGGAAACUGGGAGUAAUACCGUAUGUGGUCGAGAGACGAAAGCUUUAUCCCCAAAGGAUUGGCCCGCGUUGGAUUAGGUAGUUGGUGGGGUAAUGGCCUACCAAGGCGACGAUGCAUAGCUGGGUUCAGAGGAUGAUCAGCCACACUUGGAUCUGAGACACGGCCCUGACUCCUACGGGAGGCAGUAGUGGGGAAUCUUAGACAAUGGGGGAAACCCUGAUCUAGCCAUGCCGCGUGAUCGAUGAAGGCCUUAGGGUUGUAAAGAUCUUUCAGGUGGGAAGAUAAUGACUGUACCACCAGAAGAAGCCCCGGCUAACUCCGUGCCAGCAGCCGCGGUAA
rnacentral:rRNA from 1 species